AUUGCUCUUUUCUUGGCUUGUUUUGUGUGUUUUACUUUCUCUUUUCUAUAUUUUCCUAUAAAUGUCUUUUUCACUAUAGUAGCCACUAUAGUAGCCAAUUUCUAAUUUAAAGGAGUAAUCUGUAUUUUUCUACAGAUUCAGAGAAGUUCCUUUCUGUAAGUCAAAAGAACAAAAAGAUGCAGAAACACGGACUGACCGCUCGACCUCUGGAGGCAGCAAAGAGCGUCCGAGUGGAGAAUCUUCCUCCAUCUUUGGCCAUCGACACACUGGACCUUUGGUUUGAGAAGGAGUGGGCUCCUCCAAAUAACAUCAUCAUGAUCCCAGAAGAGCAAGCUGCUAUUGUGACCUUCAGUGACCCCAAAGUUGUGGAAAGUAUUUGCUCAACAGUAGACCACAUGAU